GACGAACGCUGGCGGCGUGCUUAACACAUGCAAGUCGAACGGAAAGGCCCUGCUUUUGUGGGGUGCUCGAGUGGCGAACGGGUGAGUAGCACGUGAGUAACCUGCCCUUGACUUUGGGAUAACUUCAGGAAACUGGGGCUAAUACCGGAUAGGAGCUCCUGCUGCAUGGUGGGGGUUGGAAAGUUUCGGCGGUUGGGGAUGGACUCGCGGCUUAUCAGCUUGUUGGUGGGGUAGUGGCUUACCAAGGCUUUGACGGGUAGCCGGCCUGAGAGGGUGACCGGCCACAUUGGGACUGAGAUACGGCCCAGAAUCCUACGGGAGGCAGCAGUGGGGAAUAUUGCACAAUGGGCGGAAGCCUGAUGCAGCAACGCCGCGUGCGGGAUGACGGCCUUCGGGUUGUAAACCGCUUUCGCCUGUGACGAAGCGUGAGUGACGGUAAUGGGUAAAGAAGCACCGGCUAACUACGUG
rnacentral:rRNA from 1 species